UACGUAGGGCGCAAGGCGUUGUCCGGAAUUAUUGGGCGUAAAGGAGCUCGUAGGCGGGUCCGUCGCGUCGGGAGUGAAAACUCGGAGCUUAAACUCCGACGCCUGCCUUCCGAUACGGGCAGUACUAGAGGUAGGCAGGGGAGAGCGGAACUCCUGGUGUAGCGGUGGAAUGCGCAGAUAUCAGGAAGAACACCGGUGGCGAAGGCGGGUCUCUGGGCCGUAACUGACGCUGAGGAGCGAAGCGUGGGGAGCGAACAGG
rnacentral:rRNA from 1 species